rnacentral:rRNA from 1 species
CAGUAGCCGCGGUAAUACAAAGGGUGCAAGCGUUAAUCGGAAUUACUGGGCGUAAAGCGUGCGUAGGCGGUUUGUUAAGUCUGUUGUGAAAUCCCCGGGCUCAACCUGGGAAUGGCAAUGGAUACUGGCAAGCUAGAGUGUGUCAGAGGAUGGUGGAAUUCCCGGUGUAGCGGUGAAAUGCGUAGAGAUCGGGAGGAACAUCAGUGGCGAAGGCGGCCAUCUGGGACAACACUGACGCUGAGGCACGAAAGCGUGGGGAGCAAACAGGAUUAGAUACCCGCGUAGUCCCUGUCUCUUAUAC